rnacentral:lncRNA from 1 species
UGGAUUGUGGACACAAGCCUUAAGGUGCCUUUUCAUGCAGCGAAUUUUUCGCUGCGAAUGAUUUUUAGUGAGUAGCGAAUAAUUCGCCGCGAAGUGACGAAUAAUUCGCCACGAAUAGUUUGUGAGCGUCACAUCUGUAUGGUUGCAUGUCAACAAUAGAAAAUCUUGAAAUCUUUGUAAUGGACGACGAGUCGGUUAUAAACUGGACUUGGUAUAACCAUCAACUGCAGUGGUUAUUGCAACAUGUAUAAGCAAAUUAUUAUUAUAUUAUACAGAAAAGGAAAACUGCUGCAGUUGCAGCUACACUUUUACAUUUGAGAAAAAGUGGAAAAAAAGAUAUUGUAAAAAGAAAUAUUGGAUAGCACCCAUUUUUCAAGAAAGGAAAGUGCAUGGAUUCUUUCAUGCUGUGCUACCUAAACUCGUUUUAGAAGAUUUGAGAUUUAAUAAUUACAUACGCAUGUCUGCAACUCAAUUUGAAAAGUUAACAUUCUUAGUUGGAGCAGACAUAUUCGCUCCUUGCGAAUAUUCGCUACAAGCUGAAACUUUUCAGCGAACAGCGAUUACUCGCUAGCGAACAGCGAAUGAUCACGUGACCUUCAUUCGCGGCGAUUAUUUCGCUGCAUGAAACGGCACCUUUAAGCCUUGUGUCCACGAUCCAAGUUCUUGGUCAAAGUUCUAUUCGUAUACACUUGACCGGAAUUGAACGUAAUUUUAAGGAACUGCUAUAUACAAUCGUUUGUAUUUCGUUUGAAGAGUAAUGAAGUGUGAUUAAAAAGGUUUGUGAGUCCCUCAGUUAAUUGUAAUUAAUUAAUUAUUUUUGCUUAACGUAUUUAGCCGGAACAGAUUAGCCGGAAUAACUUCAAACAAUAUUUUUGUAUGGAAUCGUUUGUAUUUUGUUUGUAGAGUACUGAAGUGUGAUCAAAAAGGUUUGUGAGUCCCUCAGUUAAUUGUAAUUAAAUGUUUAUUACUCGGUAGUUAGCCGGAAUGGCCGGAAUAUAGAUUUUAGUUCCUCAUGUUAAAAGAAAAAGGCGCCACUGUUCCCUGAAAUUCUAUUGACAGUUUCCCUUCUAUGAUGUUGAAUGAUUUAAGCCAUUAUAUACUUACCAUGCAUACUAAAAAAAGCAUAAAUAUAUAUAAAUUAAACACUUCUUUCCCGUGUACAUCAAGCUGUAAGAUGUUAAGUAAGAUAUUUCAUGAUAAUAAACGCCAUGACGCUUGCAUUAUUUCUUUGUUUUAUUCUUAUCAUAGUUAUAUAUAUAGUUAUAUUAUUAUAUAUAAUACUAUUUAUUAAUUCUGCGUUUAUAUAUGUAUAUAUUCCUACAUCGUAUUCGUCCCACGUUUUAAUGAAGAGCAAUACAGCAUUGUAUUUUGUAAACUUAAAGCUAUCGGCAACAGAGCCUAAAUUUUAAUUACCAUUUAUAAAUAUUUUAAUUGUUUCUAGAUCUAGAUAAUAAAACAAACUCGGUUAGAGAAAUAAAAAACAAUGUAUUUUUACACAUUACAGAUUUGAACAAUUUGCAUGUUUACUAACAAAUUUAUAUCAUUAUUGAAAUUUGUUCUUUAAUAAUCUCGCAUGCACGCACAUGUAUACGUGAAAUGCUGUUAAAAUGAUGGAAUGUUUUAUUGUCCGUUUUUUUAAUACAUAUUUUUAAUUAAUAAUUUGGAAAAAUGCAAAGAAAUAUAUUUACACUAAAGCCCGUUUUAGACUAUGCAAUAUAUUAUAAUAUAUUGCGCUAGAUUUGACGCAAUUUCUUGAGCAAAUUUUUGCUGCAAGAAUUGCUUGCCGUUGAUUGCAUAGUCUAAAACGAACUUAAGAUAUUAAAAACGUAUCACUUAUUUUCACAAUUGAACGUGAUGUAUGAAAAACGAUAAAUAACGAUAAAUAAAGUAACUGCAAUGGCAAUGAUACGCGUGUAACACUAUUUGAAUAUUUUGAAUUAAAUUAUAGAUUGUCCGAGGGCGCACCACACAUACAGUAAAGGCUAGUUAUUGGAACAUUCUGAUCUUGGUGAUGAUGAUCCAACCUGGUAAUUGAUAUGUGGUCCGCGGCAUGUUCCUAGCAAUCGACGGUUCUCCUGUAACAAAAUUAUAUCAUUAAUAAAACAAUCUAAUAGGGUUCAUCUCCUGUUAAAUUUCCAUGGGACAAAGUUAUUCAAUGCAAUGUCUGUUUAUUAUGUUUACUAUUGUUUGGGAUUAGAUAAUGUUUAGGAGAAAUUAGAAUAGAAUUCAUGUUGUCGAUCACAUGUUUUACUUGCUAAAUUAAUGUUAUUCUUAUAAUAAAAGUUUCUCAAACACAUUUUGUGAAUAA